CCUACGGGAGGCUGCAGUGGGGAAUAUUGCACAAUGGGGGAAACCCUGAUGCAGCGACGCCGCGUGAGUGAAGAAGUAAUUCGUUAUGUGAAGCUCUAUCAGCAGGGAAGAAAAUGACGGUACCUGAGUAAGAAGCCCCGGCUAACUACGUGCCAGCAGCCGCGGUAAUACGUAGGGGGCAAGCGUUAUCCGGAUUUACUGGGUGUAAAGGGAGCGUAGACGGCAGUGCAAGUCUGGAGUGAAAGGCGGGGGCCCAACCCCCGGACUGCUCUGGAAACUGUACGGCUGGAGGGCAGGAGAGGUAAGUGGAAGUCCUAGUGUAGCGGUGAAAUGCGUAGAUAUUAGGAGGAACACCAGUGGCGAAGGCGGCUUACUGGACUGUAACUGACGUUGAGGCUCGAAAGCGUGGGGAGCAAACAGGAUUAGAUACCCUUGUAGUC
rnacentral:rRNA from 1 species